ACGACAAAGAUAACCGAGCAUUACCGCCAUUACGUGUGCCCGGGUACACGUGUGCCACUGUGCCACCGCCGGCCACCUGGUCAAUUGCCACGUACGCACCGGCCACGUCUUCAAUAACUGGUUUCGUCGUCGCAUGCAUGCAUCAGCAACGGAAACGCGUGUGUGCCACGCCACGCAGCUGAAGCGUGGGGGAGCGAAAAGGGAUGCCCGAACGGUUAAAGAUCAGACGUUUUAAUUUGCGUGGCGUUAUGGUUCAGAUUCAUUAAGGGGCCGAGUUUGAGGGCUUAACCCGAUAUAUAAGACAUGAGCGUAGGCUGAGUUACUUCUCUCUUUCUUUCUUUUUUCUUUUUUUUUUUUGCGAAAGGUAGGCUGAGUCACUCCCGGCGAUGCCACCUGUCCCUGAACUGCACUGCGUGGGACUUGUCUUAACCAAAGAUUAUUGUGGGAAAAAAAACGUCCUAAAGAAGGAAGGAAUGAACAAUAAAAUAGACAAAAACGAGUUAAAUUAAUAGGAUUACAAGAAUUCAAUGUAAUGCCAAGCACAAUCUUAAUUAACCUCUUUACACUAAUUAAAAAAGCUCUUCAAUCCCUAUGAUAUAAUGGUUCUGCUAUUGAUAAGUCACCCAUUUUUAGUUAGAAAUCAAUCGACAUGUUAGGCAUCGGAUUUUAAUCCAACGAUAGCAAGUGAGGGAUGAGAGAAUGGGUAUGACCCUCAGAUUUUAAUUCAACGGCUUUGAAACGUUGACUGAUAUUUAAGGCUUAUUUCUUAAAAAACAGGCGACUUAGAAGUCACACCCAUAAUAUUAUGUUAAACCGAUCAGCACAAAAGGUGAAAAAACUUAGUCUCAUACAACUGGCUCUCCUAAGUUCCUUUUUUCACCCGCUAACCCUUCAAUCUAGCCGCCCAAACAAUGAAUUUAUGUUGAUCUUGGACACAAAACAGAGUUAAACUAACUUGUUUGAGUUAAUAAUAUUGGCUAAUCUUGGUAGCUUAACCACGAAUCAAAUGGGGCCUUGAUGUUUUCCUACCCCGAAUGAGGAAAGGUAUAAUAAACUGCCAACGGUGCAUAUAUGGCAAAUAGGUAUUUUCUUUUUCUUCUAGAAAGCCCUAG
rnacentral:lncRNA from 1 species